AGGAGGAAGAGGGAAGGCAGUAAAGCUGGGCAGGGACCUAGCGGGAAAAGGAGCAAGCCCCGGCAGAGAAGACUCACUGCCUCAGUGAAUGGGGGCCAUCGCUCAGCCCUGCAGGAGCUGCAAGAGACUCAGGGCCACUCCAACCCAGUAUCAUGUCAUCUCAUCCUGAUUGUGUCUGCAGAGACCCUGCUCCAAAUCUGGUCACAUUUUGAAGUUCUGGGUGCACACGGAUUUGAGGGGACAAAACUCAGCCCAUGACAGGGCGAAGAAGAAGUGGUCUUGGGCCAAUCCAGAGUGGAGGACAGACCCUGUAGUGGCCCACGUUCCCCACCUCCAGGCGCUGACACCUUUGAUUAAUCUCCCCUGAGCGUGAGCAGGACCUGGGACCUGGGACCUGCGUCUGAUCAGCAGAGCCCAGCAAGGCAAUGGCAUGGCUUCCAUCACAGCACUGCAUAAGAUUGUAACUGGUCGUGCUGCCGUGUGUGAGCUGGCCCUGGGAGAGGGCCCUGUGUUCAGGAAAAAUCAACCCAUUUUGCCAAGGAGGAAACCGAGGCACAAAAAGUCUGGUCAACAGCUAGCAAGGGAUUGAAUACUGCAAACAUCCUGGUGAGUGUGGAUGCACAGUCUGCCCCAGCGGAGCCUAGGCUGAGACCACCGCCCUGGCGGCACCGUGAUUGCAGCCUGGUGUGACCCUGAGCGGGGGACCCUGCUAAGCUGCACUCACACUUCAGACCUACUGCAUCGUGAGAUAAAUAUGUGUCCUUGUUACCACUAA